UACCAGUUCUUUUGACAGUUCUACCCUCCA
rnacentral:piRNA from 1 species